AGGAUGACAUAGAGAUUUGUAAAGCACACACGGAUCUGAAAGGUUCAGACCCGUUAACUAAAAACCUCUCUUACAAGCAAAAACACAAUUAAACCCCAAAACUCAUUGGGUGUGAAUCACAUAGUGAUGUGAACUAGAUUAUUGACUCUAGUGCAAGUGGGAGACUGUUGGAAAUAUGCCCUAGAGGAAAUAAUAAAUUAGUUACUAUUA
rnacentral:lncRNA from 1 species